UAGAGUUUGAUCCUGGCUCAGAUUGAACGCUGGCGGCAUGCUUUACACAUGCAAGUCGAACGGCAGCGCGGGGCAACCUGGCGGCGAGUGGCGAACGGGUGAGUAAUAUAUCGGAACGUACCCAAGAGUGGGGGAUAACGUAGCGAAAGUUACGCUAAUACCGCAUACGAUCUAAGGAUGAAAGCAGGGGACCGCAAGGCCUUGUGCUCCUGGAGCGGCCGAUAUCUGAUUAGCUAGUUGGUAGGGUAAAGGCCUACCAAGGCUUCGAUCAGUAGCUGGUCUGAGAGGACGACCAGCCACACUGGAACUGAGACACGGUCCAGACUCCUACGGGAGGCAGCAGUGGGGAAUUUUGGACAAUGGGCGCAAGCCUGAUCCAGCAAUGCCGCGUGAGUGAAGAAGGCCUUCAGGUUGUAAAGCUCUUUUGUCAGGGAAGAAACGGUGGGGGCUAAUAUCCUCCACUAAUGACGGUACCUGAAGAAUAAGCACCGGCUAACUACGUGCCAGCAGCCGCGGUAAUACGUAGGGUGCAAGCGUUAAUCGGAAUUACUGGGCGUAAAGCGUGCGCAGGCGGUUUUGUAAGUCUGAUGUGAAAUCCCCGGGCUCAACCUGGGAAUUGCAUUGGAGACUGCAAGGCUAGAAUCUGGCAGAGGGGGGUAGAAUUCCACGUGUAGCAGUGAGAUGCGUAGAGAUGUGGAGGAACACCGAUGGCGAAGGCAGCCCCCUGGGUCAAGAUUGACGCUCAUGCACGAAAGCGUGGGGAGCAAACAGGAUUAGAUACCCUGGUAGUCCACGCCCUAAACGAUGUCUACUAGUUGUCGGGUUUUAAUUAACUUGGUAACGCAGCUAACGCGUGAAGUAGACCGCCUGGGGAGUACGGUCGCAAGAUUAAAACUCAAAGGAAUUGACGGGGACCCGCACAAGCGGUGGAUGAUGUGGAUUAAUUCGAUGCAACGCGAAAAACCUUACCUACCCUUGACAUGUCAGGAAUCCUUGAAUCAGGGAGUGCCGAAAGGGAACCUGAACCAGGUGCUGCAUGGCUGUCGUCAGCUCC
rnacentral:rRNA from 1 species